AGGCAGCGGUGGCGGAGGCUCCUCCACCUCCUCCACCACUUCCGGUGCCACGUCAUCAACUUCAUGAACACUACCGUCUUCCUCAUCCUCAUCCUCGUGAUCCACUUCCGGUGCCACGUCAUCAACUUUCCGGUGAUUUUCUUCUCGAUCAAAUCUGUCAUGCUCAUGAUCGAUCUCAGAUAAGCUAGAUCCGGCGACCUGCUCCAUCGAAGGGAAGAAGUAGUCCCAAGAGGACAUACCGUGAGACUGCGGCGGAGGUGGAGCAGCACGAUUAAGCGUACUCUCCGUCGGCCGCGGCGGCGUCGGCUGCGGCGGCGACGGCGGAGGCAGGUCUACUUUCUCCGCCUCUCGUUUCGAACCGCUCCUACUAGCACCACCGCCACCGGACUUUCUAGAACUACUACUCCGAUGCUUCAAACUCCGAUCAUCAAUCUCAUUAUCCUCAUCAACUUCUUCAAUAAUCGGAUCCGGAUGCGAAAACUCCGGUUCCGUGGCAGAAAACUCCGGCAUCGUAGACGCGCGUUGGAGCGGAGGAGGCGGUGGCGGUGGCAUAGUUUCGAACAGCGGCGGUGGUGGUUGCGGUGGCGCCGGAGGGAGAAUUGUCGACGACGAAACCGCGUCGACGGAUGACGGAUGGCGGUGGUCGGGAAACUCAACUUCGCCUUGAGCAUAGUCACUUAAAGCAGCGCCGGUGUUCUUCAACGCGGCGGCGUAGGAGAAGUGUGCGGCGGCGAAAGCGUUGCGUGCAGAUACUG
rnacentral:lncRNA from 1 species